CCGUCGCUACUACGAUGAAUGGCUUAGUGAGCCCUCGAUCGAUUUCGAAGUGUAAAGGCAUCCGAUUGUUAAGAAGUUGGUCAAACUUGGUCAUUAGAGGAAGUAAAAGUCGUAACAAGGUUCCGUAGGUGAACCUGCGGAAGGAUCAUUA
rnacentral:rRNA from 1 species